UCUCCUUCCUGAUCCAGUAGCUCGGAGCCUGGUGGAACCUGAAACUACAGAAAGAAGUAAUGAAUACAGGUGUGGAAGACGAGACACUCUCUUCCGGGAGAACCUCAUUCAGAUCACUCCAACUGAACUGAAACUCAUCAACAUCCACGUUCAUCCGAGAACCGUCUGGAACCUUUUGUAGAAGACUAUUCGCUCAGAGGAUUCGUAGACUAUUCCACAACUUGGGAAUAUUCGUACGACUCUCCGCAGCACCACCACGACCCUGUACGUUGUAUACCUAGACUUCUUGGUCCUAUACUUCACAAUACAUGGAUUGAUAAAGAACUACUAGUUCGGCUGCACCCUACUGCAGGUAACCACAGAUUAGGCGGUC